rnacentral:rRNA from 1 species
CAGUCGCCGCGGUAAUACGAAGGGGGCUAGCGUUGUUCGGAUUUACUGGGCGUAAAGGGUGCGUAGGCGGGUUGCUAAGUCAGGGGUGAAAUCCCGAGGCUCAACCUCGGAACUGCCUUUAAUACUGGCGAUCUUGAGUCCGGGAGAGGUGAGUGGAACUGCGAGUGUAGAGGUGAAGUUCGUAGAUAUUCGCAAGAACACCGGUGGCGAAGGCGGCUCACUGGCCCGGAACUGACGCUGAGGCACGAAAGCGUGGGGAGCGAACAGGAUUAGAUACCCCAGUAGUCCCUGUCUCUUAUAC